UAUUAGCGUAAGGAGGAUCGGCAUAUGAAAAUUGCAAAAGUAUACGUAAACAAUUAACACUGCAAAUGACUAAGCCUCAAUCUUGGCAAACGUUUCAACGUUCAGGUUGCCUCUUGGAUUUCAUUCCUUGGUUAGUUUCUCUCAAAAUUUCUCGGUUUUUUUGACAUUUUUUUUUCACUCUGAGUAUUCUUCUCCUCUGUCAUGGAAAUCCACACUUCUUCUUCUUUAACCGAAUAAUCUUAAAUGCUAAAUCGUCCUCUCAUCUUCGCUUCCCUUGAAUAACAACACUCCGCCAUUCGUCAUUUGUUACUCCGCUUGAUAAUGUCAGCUACUAUGAUUUACGUAAUUUUAUAGUUAAAUUCCCCAGGCAAGCUUUGCUGCUUAUUGUAUCUCUAGCCAAUGUAUGUUGAGGAAAUCAAUGUCGGAGUCAUUGCAAUCCGACACUCUGAUAUCGUUUUUCUUCCAAGCCGUAUAUAUACUGCUGCUAUUCCUCUCACUUUUCUCUAUAUAAAAUAUUCUUUAACUAAAAAGUAGUAACUCGUCCUUUUUUUUUGAACAUUUACUACCUGCUACCUGAUCUGAGCUAAAGAUCUGAUAGCCCCUUGACGAAGAUAACAUUACGAGCUUCGGUUUACCGUGUUAAGUAAAUUAAGCUCCCCUGAUUAUAC